AUAUGACGAUAGCGUUCGCGUUACUACCGCCCCCGAAGCCUAUGGAUGCAUCGCACGACCGUUGGAUUGCCUGGAAAACUUGGAAAAAGACUCAUGGGACAGCAAACCAGGACCUUGCUGCCUGUGCCCACCAGCCACCUCGUACCAGAGGCAGUAUCAAACAAAGCCGUUCACAGCCGGCUCCAGGAGAUCCGUCAAAGCCAGAAGGUCUACUAUAACUAAAGAACGAGACACCUACCAGCCCUCUCUCCAGGUCAGCCAGUCGCUACAUACGCGAUCCUCCAGCGAACCUGGUCGCCUGCUAUUCUUUUGAGGCCAGCCAACACGCCCCGUUCAGUGAUCUUGAGAACGGGAGAUGGUCGAGAAAUCAGAGGCCCAAGAGAUCACCUGCGGGACUUUCCGAUCCAUGGCGAAGGUAGUCCAGCAAAGGCUCCCGAAGAAGGCUCCAGAGAAGACCACUCCUCUCAAGAGCUACGCAGAAGCACGAGGACUCGCCAGAAGCCCUGUCGGUAUCCGCAACCUGAAAGGCAUAUCUUAUUUUGUUACAGCGCAAGCUUGAAAAGGACAACAGAAGGCACAUCUGACACACACAGCGCUACUUUCAACAACAGAUUUAUUUCUCGUUCUCGUCGCUAUAUAUACACCCUCGACCCGUCAUACACCACGUGUAACAUUUUUGGAAGAAAACAAAAGAUAUAAACUGGGAACCACA